rnacentral:lncRNA from 1 species
CUUCUUUCUUAUCUCAUCGAGAAUAAACAGAACAGAUGGAACUCCCAUGUUCCCAUACUUGCUCAAUACAUGCCUAAUUGCUCUCAGCUUCCCCUCAUUCAGACCCAGUUUUUCUUCAACCUUGUCUAAAAUGGCCGGUCCGCCGGGAUGGAUGCUAUAGAACAAGGAGUUCCAAUCAUUAUUAAUCCCAUCUAUUUUAUUAAACCCUUUAACCAAAAG